GACGAACGCUGGCGGCGUGCUUAACACAUGCAAGUCGAACGAAGUGGCGAACGGGUGAGUAACGCGUAAUCAACCUGCCCUUCAGAGGGGACCAACAGUUGGAAACGGCUGCUAAUACCGCAUACUGAACGCGGGGAUUGCGUCUGAUUAGCUAGUUGGAGGGGUAACGGCCCACCAAGGCGAUGAUCAGUAGCCGGUCGUAGAGGAUGAACGGCCACAUUGGGACUGAGACACGGCCCAGACUCCUACGGGAGGCAGCAGUGGGGAAUCUUCCGCAAUGGACGAAAGUCUGACGAAGCAACGCCGCGUGAGUGAUGACGGCCUUCGGGUUGUAAAGCUCUGUUAAUCGGGACGCGGUACCGGAAUAGAAAGCCACGGCUAACUACGUGCCAGCCGCCGCGGUAAUUC
rnacentral:rRNA from 1 species